rnacentral:lncRNA from 10 species
CUUUCGGGCGGGGCGGACACCAGCCGCGCGCCCUCGCCGGGCGCCGGGACCGGAAAAUCACCGCGAAGGGAGGGACGAGGAAAGGCGGCGGGUGGCUUCAGGACAAGGACUUUGUGAUUACAUUGGGCCCAUCCAGAUCAUCCAGGAUCAUCUUCCCAUCUCAAGAUUCUUCACUUAAUCACAUCUGCAAAAUUCCUUUUGCUGUGUAAGCCUGAAAAGUAUCUUGCAUACACAACUGGCAGCACAGAAUCCUGACAAACCUCUCAUCAGAAAUCAACCACAGACUCUUUAUGCUCUUACCAAAAUGCUGGCUUUGAGAACUAAUUAUGAAUGAAAAUUACUGAUGUGAUUUUCAGGUGAGAGACCCUAUUAGACAAAAUUUUGGAUUCAUUUUUU